AAGUCGUAACAAGGUUUCCGUAGGUGAACCUGCGGAAGGAUCAUUAGCGAAGUUCGGAAUGCAUGUUCGGUGUUGAUGCUGCCCAGCAAUGGGAUGUGCUCACUCGGAUGUGUGUCCCUCCUCUAUCCACCCCACUGUGAACCAAGUGUGUGAGCCGAAGAGAAAUCGGACGCUCGCAUGCAAACCUUUAACAUACCCCAAUUAAGUAUCAGAAUGUACCUUGCGUUAACUCGCACAAAUAUAACUUUCAACAACGGAUCUCUUGGCUCUC
rnacentral:misc_RNA from 1 species